GAAGCCCUCUCCAAGAUGAGGCCUCGUAAGGGUUCUGACCCGAAAGCCCCCUGGAAGACUACCAGGUUGAUAGGCCGGGUGUGUAAGCGCAGCAAUGCGCUGAGCUAACCGGUACUAACGGGCGAAAGCUUGGCCAC
rnacentral:rRNA from 1 species